rnacentral:lncRNA from 1 species
ACGCGCCGAUUGGAUCGGCAAAGGAGCUUGAUACACUCAAAUUACACCUUUCUAAAGAAGUAUAAGUGAACGUUAUGAAGUAAAGAACCCAACUUGUAGGUUGGGGUCGAUCCCACGAGGAAUAUGGUUUAGACUUAACUUUAACUUACGAUUAUAUUCGUUUAGUCAACAUAUUUCCGAGACAAGUAAGUAAGGGGGG